AUGAACGCUAGCGGCAGGCUUAACACAUGCAAGUCGAACGGUAACAGAAGAGCUUGCUCUUGCUGACGAGUGGCGAACGGGUGCGUAACGCGUAUACAACCUACCUCUUAUUAAGGGAUAGCUCAGAGAAAUUUGAAUUAAUACCUUAUAAUAUCUUAAAGUCGCAUGGCUUAAAGAUUAAAGAAUUUCGAUAAGAGAUGGGUAUGCGUGAUAUUAGCUAGUUGGUAAGGUAACGGCUUACCAAGGCAACGAUAUCUAGGGGGUCUGAGAGGAUGAUCCCCCACACUGGUACUGAGACACGGACCAGACUCCUACGGGAGGCAGCAGUGAGGAAUAUUGGACAAUGGGCGCAAGCCUGAUCCAGCCAUGCCGCGUGAAGGAUGAAUGCCCUACGGGUUGUAAACUUCUUUUAUACAGGAAGAAACCUCUUUAUUCAUAAAGAGCUGACAUUACUGUACGAAUAAGCAUCGGCUAACUCCGUGCCAGCAGCCGCGGUAAUACGGAGGAUGCAAGCGUUAUCCGGAUUUAUUGGGUUUAAAGGGUCCGUAGGCGGAUCUUUAAGUCAGUGGUGAAAGCCUACAGCUUAACUGUAGAACUGCCAUUGAUACUGAAGAUCUUGAAUAUAUAUGAAGUGGGCGGAAUGCGUCAUGUAGCGGUGAAAUGCACAGAUAUGACGCAGAACACCAAUUGCGAAGGCAGCUCACUAAUGUGUUAUUGACGCUGAGGGACGAAAGCAUGGGGAGCGAACAGGAUUAGAUACCCUGGUAGUCCAUACCGUAAACGAUGAUUACUCGGUAUUAGUCUAAC
rnacentral:rRNA from 1 species